AAAAUCAUCUUAGUAUCAUUUACAAUCACAAACAAUAUCGUUUUAAUACAAUAAUCCUGGAAUAAUCAAUCUACGGCCACUAUAGUAUUCAUACACUGUUUUACGCUAGUGGUACAUAAAGUUCACUGAGGUUACACACAGGUCACCUCAUUUGCAUAAUCAAUACACUAAAAUCAUUGUGCCGGAAAUGGCGACUGAAGUGAAAGUGAAAGUUUAAGUACAAAAGUUAUCUCGUUUAUACAACAAUAAAAAUGGUUUUACACUUGGAAAACGGAUUACAUAGAACACUGAAAACAUAAUGAAUUGAAUUAAAAAGUGGUCUUCGUAUGCUGGGCUUCGCUUUUCUGUACAACGAUACAGUUCUCCUGGGGAAGGAAUUCUACAUCAGCGGGAAACAGGGACGUCUAUAGGUAUUGACUGGAAAAAUAGGUCAGCAUGAGGUUUAUGUUGAGAUACUGUCCAACUAACUCCAAGUAAUUGAAGUAUCAAAUCAAGUUAUCAUCAGAAAGAGCCAGCAACACAAAAUCUAGUAGUAAAUGGAAGAUACAGCGGACAAUGUCGGAGGUGAAUAGUCGUAAAUAGGAUAUUAAAUGUGGAAAUAUGAUGUCAUGUUAAACAUGUUAAAGCUGCCAGCAGAACUAAAAGGCUAAUCUGCAAUGGAGGAGGUUCAGGCUCAGGCCUUGCCCUAGUUACUGAUUCACUAAAUGCUGGAAUCUUAGCAACAGACAUGGUAUCUUUAUGCUGAUCUAGUGAAGAUAACCAUCGAACACUCAAGUUUGUGGAAGUUUCAUACUUAGAGUUAUCUUUGACAUUCACCAAAUGUAUAACUUCAAAUUCCAUUAAACGUGCAGUACCAAUAAGCGUGUUUCGAUGUAUGGUGACCUCCUUCAUAAAAGGGUUUACCAGUGUAAUUUUACUCAUCACACUACCAGCAAGAUCAACUAAACAGGUAUGGGUUCGUAUCACUGGAUACUCGUGUAACUGUUGAGUAUCCCACCGCUGCCACCAAUGUAAUAACUGGCCAAACGGGUGUCUUUUACUUUGCUGCCACCACCUGUGUUUCAGGUACACAGGAAACCUCAAUAGACUAGAAUAACUAGUCUAAAACAGAGAAUGGUUUAAACACGGAUGUGUACUAGACCAACAGGGUUAAAACACUUCUGACACAUUAACUUUACUUUAUAUUUAACAAGAAACUCAAAUAGCGAGAACAAAAGGGGUAACGAAUAUUCAAAUACGUAAUAGUCUGUGUAUCUAAACGCACUUUCUAUCGUGUAGUUUAUAGAACAGCAUUACACUGUAAAAUAGAGGCAGCACCUCUAUAACCUGGAAUCUCAUAUAAACUAACACUCAAGAAGUGGAAACUUCCAGGACAGUACCAUCAGACUAUUCCACAAAUGAAUAUUAUCUAUCUGACAAUCGAAUAGUCUCUUGUCUCAGUCUAACAAGAAGAUCUAUUCUCUCAUGAGACAGUCUAAGGACAACAACCAGAGACCAGUUGGAC